rnacentral:rRNA from 1 species
AGUGAACGCUGGCGGUAGGCCUAACACAUGCAAGUCGAACGGCAGCACAGUAAGAGCUUGCUCUUACGGGUGGCGAGUGGCGGACGGGUGAGGAAUACAUCGGAAUCUACUUUUUCGUGGGGGAUAACGUAGGGAAACUUACGCUAAUACCGCAUACGACCUACGGGUGAAAGCAGGGGAUCUUCGGACCUUGCGCGAUUGAAUGAGCCGAUGUCGGAUUAGCUAGUUGGCGGGGUAAAGGCCCACCAAGGCGACGAUCCGUAGCUGGUCUGAGAGGAUGAUCAGCCACAUUGGAACUGAGACACGGUCAAGACUCCUACGGGAGGCAGCAGUGGGGAAUAUUGGACAAUGGGCGCAAGCCUGAUCCAGCCAUACCGCGUGGGUGAAGAAGGCCUUCGGGUUGGAAAGCCCUUUUGUUGGGAAAGAAAAGCAGCAGGUUAAUACCCCGCUGUUCUGACGGUACCCAAAGAAUAAGCACCGGCUAACUUCGUG